UCAAGUUACAAAGAGCGCAGGGCGAAUGCCUUGGCACCAUGAGCCGAAGAAGGACGUGAUAAGCUGCGAAAAGCUACGUGUAGGUGCAAAUAACCAUUAAAGCGUAGAUAUCCGAAUGGGGAAACCUAAUCAGGGUAAAUUCCUGAUUACUCCUAGAUGAAUACAUAGUCUAGGUAGAGGGAACGGGGGGAAUUGAAACAUCUUAGUACCCCUAGGAAAAGAAAUCAACCGAGAUUCCGUAAGUAGUGGCGAGCGAAAGCGGAAGAGGCCAAACCGAUUUACUUCGGUAAAUCGGGGUUCGGACUGAAUAAUCUAGAACAAGAGUUAGCAGAAUGAGCGGAUGGAAAGCCGAGACCAUAGAACGUAAUAGUCGUGUAAGCGAAAACUCAAGUUCAGAGUCAGUAUCCAGAGUAAUGUAGGACACGAGGAAUCCUGCAGGAAGACGGGGGGACCACCCUCCAAGCCUAAAUACUCCAUGGUGACCGAUAGUGAAUAGUACAGUGAUGGAAAGGUGAAAAGAACCCCGGGAGGGGAGUGAAAGAGAACCUGAAACCCUGUGUUUACAAGCAGUCGGAGCACGUUAAUGUGCAACGGCGUACUUUUUGUAGAACGGUCCGACGAGUUACGAUUACUAGCAAGGUUAAGUAGUAGAGCUAUGAAGCCGAAGGGAAACCGAGUAUGAAUAGUGCGAGUAGUUAGUAGUUGUAGACCCGAAACCAGGCGACCUAUCCAUGAGCAGCGUGAAGGUAAGGUAAAGCUUACUGGAGGCGCGAACCCGUAUCUGUUGAAAAAGGUUGGGAUGACUUGUGGAUAGCGGAGAAAUUCCAAUCGAGCUUGGAUAUAGCUGGUUCUCCCCGAAAUAGCUUUAGGGCUAGCGUCGAGGUAAAGUCGUGUGAAGGUAGAGCACUGAAUAUGUGAUGGCCCCAUCUCGGGGUACUGAACAUAAUCAAACUCCGAAUGUCACAAAGAUAUACUCGGCAGUCAGACAGUGGGUGAUAAGGUCCAUUGUCAAAAGGGAAACAGCCCAGACCAUCAGCUAAGGUCCCAAAAUAUAUGCUAAGUGGAAAAGGAUGUGGAGAUGUCCAGACAACCAGGAGGUUGGCUCAGAAGCAGCCACCCUUUAAAGAGUGCGUAACAGCUCACUGGUCGAAUGACUCUGCGCCGAAAAUUUACCGGGGCUAAGCAUAAUACCGAAGCUAUGGAUUUAUAGAGAAUAUAAGUGGUAGGGGAGCGUUCCAGUCAGCGAGGAAGCAUGAUCGUAAGGACAUGUGGAGCGGCUGGAAGAGAGAAUGCCGGUGUGAGUAGCGGCACGUGGGUGAGAAUCCCACGCACCGAAGACCCAAGGUUUCCAGAGGAAGGUUCGUCCGCUCUGGGUAAGUCGGGACCUAAGGCGAGGCCGAGAGGCGUAGUCGAUGGACAACGGGUGGAUAUUCCCGUACCUGGCGUGAGGGCGAUGGAGUGACGGAGAAGGCUAGGCGAUCCAGCUGCUGGAAUAGCUGGUGCAAGCGAGGUAGGGGACAUCCAGGCAAAUCCGGAUGUCAUAACCCGAAGACGUGAAGCGUAUGGAACAUUACGAUAAGUACAGAAGUCGCCGAAGCCAUCUUCCAAGAAAAGCUUCUAGCGAUACCUCAAGUCAGCCCGUACCGAAAAUGGACACACAUGGGUGAGGAGAGAAUCCUAAGGUGAGCGAGAGAACUAUAGCUAAGGAACUCUGCAAAAUGACUCCGUAACUUCGGGAGAAGGAGUGCUCAGUGAAAGCUGAGCCGCAGUAAAACGGCCCAAGCGACUGUUUACCAAAAACACAGCUCUCUGCCAAGACGCAAGUCGAAGUAUAGGGGGUGACGCCUGCCCGGUGCUGGAAGGUUAAGAGGAGUGGUCAGUCUUAAGGCGAAGCCAUGAAUUGAAGCCCCAGUAAACGGCGGCCGUAACUAUAACGGUCCUAAGGUAGCGAAAUUCCUUGUCGGGUAAGUUCCGACCCGCACGAAAGGCGUAAUGAUUUGGGCACUGUCUCAACAAUGCACCCGGUGAAAUUGAAAUACCAGUGAAGAUGCUGGUUACCUGCGCCAGGACGGAAAGACCCCAUGGAGCUUUACUCCAGCUUGAUACUGGGAUUCGAUAUUGCAUGUACAGGAUAGGUGGGAGACUUUGAACUGAUGACGCCAGUUGUCAGGGAGUCACUGUUGGGAUACCACCCUUGUAGUAUUGGAUUUCUAACCAGCAGCCGUGAACCGGCUGGGGGACAAUGUCAGGUGGGGAGUUUGACUGGGGCGGUCGCCUCCGAAAGGGUAUCGGAGGCGCUCAAAGGUUCCCUCAGAAUGGUUGGAAACCAUUCGAAGAGUGCAAAGGCAGAAGGGAGCUUGACUGCGACACCGACGGGUGGAGCAGGUACGAAAGUAGGACUUAGUGAUCCGGUGGUAUAAAGUGGGAUUGCCAUCGCUCAACGGAUAAAAGCUACCCUGGGGAUAACAGGCUUAUCACUCCCAAGAGUUCACAUCGACGGAGUGGUUUGGCACCUCGAUGUCGGCUCAUCGCAUCCUGGGGCUGAAGUAGGUCCCAAGGGUUGGGCUGUUCGCCCAUUAAAGCGGUACGCGAGCUGGGUUCAGAACGUCGUGAGACAGUUCGGUCCCUAUCCGGCGUGGGCGUAGGAUAUUUGAGAGGAGCUGCCCUUAGUACGAGAGGACCGGGGUGGACUGGCCGCUGGUGGAUCUGUUGUAUUACCAAAUGCAUAGCAGAGUAGCCAAGCCGGGACGGGAUAAACGCUGAAGGCAUCUAAGCGUGAAGCCCCCCUCAAGAUGAGAUAUCCCAUAACGUCAAGUUAGUAAGACCCCUUGAAGACGACGAGGUAGAUAGGGCAGAGGUGGAAGUGUGGCAACACAUGGAGCUGACUGUUACUAAUAGGUCGAGGGCAUAACCAA
rnacentral:rRNA from 1 species